GACGAACGCUGGCGGCGUGCUUAACACAUGCAAGUCGAACGGAAAGGCCCUGCUUUUGUGGGGUGCUCGAGUGGCGAACGGGUGAGUAACACGUGAGUAACCUGCCCUUGACUUUGGGGUAACUUCAGGAAACUGGGGCUAAUACCGGAUAGGAGCUCUUGCUCCAUGGUGGGGGUUGGAAAGUUUCGGCGGUUGGGGAUGGACUCGCGGCUUAUCAGCUUGUUGGUGGGGUAGGUGCUUACCAGGGCUUUGACGGGUAGCCGGCCUGGGAGGGUGGCCGGGCACAUUGGGCCUACGAUACGGACCAGAAUCCUACGUGAGGCAGCGGUGGGGAAUAUUGCACAAUGGGCGGAAGCCUGAUGCAACAACGCCGCGUGCGUGAUGACGGCCUUCGGGUUGUAAACCGCUUUCGCCUGUGACGAAGCGUGAGUGACGGUAAUGGGUAAAGAAGCACCGGCUAACUACGUG
rnacentral:rRNA from 1 species